ensembl:lncRNA
CUUCAUUCCUUGCUUCCUUCCCUCCUCCCUCCCUCCUUCCUUCGCUGCCUUCUUUCCUUCCUUUCAUCUUCUUCUUUUGUAUCAGGGCAAUAACUUGCCUCAUAAAAUGAAUAUGAAAGUGUACCCUUCUUUUCAAAUUUGUGGAAGAGACAACAUCGAAAUCUUGUUCUUUCUUCCAUAGAUAUUUGUUUAAUUGGUUUCUGCUGUUGUAUUUAUUACUUCCUUCCUGUUGUUCGCUUUGGCUUUAUUUUUGCGCUUUCUGAUG